rnacentral:rRNA from 1 species
UACGUAGGGGGCAAGCGUUGUCCGGAAUCAUUGGGCGUAAAGAGCGUGUAGGCGGCCCGGUAAGUCUGUUGUGAAAGUCCAGGGCUCAACCCUGGAAAGCCGAUGGAUACUGCCGGGCUAGAGUUCGGAAGAGGCGAGUGGAAUUCCCGGUGUAGCGGUGAAAUGCGCAGAUAUCGGGGAGGAACACCAAUGGCGAAGGCAGCUCGCUGGGACGUUACUGACGCUGAGGCGCGAAAGCG